rnacentral:rRNA from 1 species
AUAAAAAACCAACGCCCUUCGGGGCUCCUUGGUGAAUCAUAAUAACUUAACGAAUCGCAUGGCCUUGCGCCGGCGAUGGUUCAUUCAAAUUUCUGCCCUUUCAACUUUCGAUGGUAGGAUAGUGGCCUACCAUGGUGGCAACGGGUAACGGGGAAUUAGGGUUCGAUUCCGGAGAGGGAGCCUGAGAAACGGCUACCACAUCCAAGGAAGGCAGCAGGCGCGCAAAUUACCCAAUCCCGAUACGGGGAUGUAGUGACAAUAAAUACUGAUACGGGGCUCUUUUGGGUCUCGUAAUUGGAAUGAGAACAAUUUAAAUCCCUUAACGAGGAACAAUUGGAGGGCAAGUCUGGUGCCAGCAGCCGCGGUAAUUCCAGCUCCAAUAGCGUAUAUUAAAGUUGUUGCAGUUAAAAAGCUCGUAGUUGAACCUUGGCCCUGGCUGGCCGGUCCGCCUCACCGCGAGUACUGGUCCGGCUGGGGCUUUCCUUCUGGGGAACCUCAUGGCCUUCACUGGCUGUGG